rnacentral:rRNA from 1 species
CUGCUGCCUCCCGUAGGAGUCUGGGCCGUGUCUCAGUCCCAGUGUGGCCGUCCACCCUCUCAGGCCGGCUGCUGAUCGUCGCUUUGGUGGGCCGUUACCCCGCCAACUGGCUAAUCAGACGCGGGCCCAUCCUGUACCACCGGAGUUUUCAAAGGAUUACCAUGCGGUAUUCCCUAUUAUGCGGUAUUAGCACCUAUUUCUAAGUGUUACUCCCCCGGUACAGGGCAGGUUGCCCACGCGUUACUCACCCGUCCGCCACUAAGACAG